AUGAGCUUCUACAGCCUUCACGAGACUCUGCACCAUGAGAUCGCCAAAGUUCAGUCUCGCUUUUAUUGGGCAGGCGACAACAAUAAGCAGAAAUACCAUAUGGUUAGCUGGCCUGACAUCUGCAAGCCUAGGGAUCAAGGAGGCCUUGGGAUCAUGUGCUCCAAGCGCAUGAAUAUCGCCCUUCUACCCCGCUGGCUCUGGCGCAUCUUGCAAGGCCAUGGUGGCCUCUGGCUUGACAUCAUCCGGAACAAGUACCUGCGUGGUCAGCCACUUGCCUUUUGUCAGAGAUCUGGUGGCUCGCAGUUCUGGCAGUCGGUCGUCAAGCUGCUCCCUGUCCUUCGCAUCGGGACAUCCAUCUCGGUGGGGUCCGGAUCGGCCACGUUUUUCUGGUUUGACAGAUGGGCUGGAGAUUCCCCCUUCGUUGUGCGCUUUCCCGACCUCUUCUCCAUCGCAGUAGAACCCUUGAUCUCUAUUGAGAGGGCCCUUAUUGGCCUAGGGCGCCUUGCUUUCCGGAGGCCUUUUGGCCCCCCGGAGUCCGCCGCUUGGCGUGAGUUACUGGACUGUGUUGCUCUCCACGAGCCUGUGGUGGACAGUGGCCCGGACCAGGUGAGAUGGCGGCUCGAACCAUCGGGCCAAUUCUCCACCAAAUCUCUGUACCAGGCAAUCGCUCCCUCCUCCGCCCCUCCCCCCUUUCGACGGUGUGGUCCAUCCGCCUGCCCCUGA
rnacentral:rRNA from 1 species